rnacentral:lncRNA from 1 species
AUAAAAAGUUAUAUGUACUGAAAGAUAGAAUAUUAUAUUUAAAAGAAAAAACACAUAUUGUUGGUAUACUUAAUGUAAAUUACGAUUCUUUUUCUGAUGGUGGUUUGUUUGUGGAACCCGAAAAAGCAGUUUUUAGAUUAUUUGAAAUGUUUAGUCAAGGAGCGGAUGUGAUUGAUAUAGGUGGUCUUUCUUCUGCUCCACAUGUUACCCCUAAUCCAAAUGUGAGUGAAAGGGAUUUAAUUAUGCCUGUUUUGCGGUUGUUUCAAAAAGAGUGGAAUAAACGACUAAACAGUUUUGAAAAAGAAAAAAAUGUACCAAAGGGUGUAACAAAAGAGUGUACUACUACUACUACUACUACUGCUACUACCGCCACUUCCCCUAUGGACAAACCAAUAAUAAGUUUAGACACAAUGGAGUAUGAAAUUUUUAAAGAAUGUAUAGAUAACGACCUAGUUGACGUAUUGAAUGACAUAAGUGCAUGUACACACAACCCAGAAAUCAUAAAAUUAUUAAAAAAAAAAAAUAAAUAUUAUAGUGUCAUUUUAAUGCAUAAAAGAGGAAAUAGCCAUACCAUGGAUACAUUAACACAAUAUAAUGAUUUAGUAAAUGAUAUAAAAUCAUAUUUAUUAGAUCGAUUAAAUUUUGCUGUUUUAAAUGGGGUACCACGUUAUCGUAUUAUGUUGGAUAUAGGUUUAGGAUUCGCAAAAAAACAUUAUCAGUCAAUUGAAUUAUUAAAAAAUAUUCACAUUUAUGAUGAUUAUCCUUUAUUUAUUGGUUAUUCAAGAAAAAGAUUCAUUUCAUAUUGUGUUGAUACAGGGGUAGUUACGAGUAAACAACAAAACGCCCCAGAAAAAAAUAAUAGUUCUAACCAAAUGUUAACAACUAAUCAAUUUACUGUAAACAACUUACGUAUGGAUAAGGAUCAGGACACGAUUUAUAAAAACAUAUGUGGUGGAUUAGCUAUUGCUUCGUACUGCUUUCAAAAAAAUGUAGAUUUAAUAAGAGUUCAUGAUGUUAUAGAAACUAAAGCUGUAUUAAACGUAUUGGAUGCUUUAAGAAAAAUACACUAAUUUUAAAAAUAUAUAAAAUGCAUAAUAUAAAUUUAGUUUAAAAAAAAAAAAAAAAAAAAAAACAUUCAUUUUAAUUUUUUAGUUAAUUUAUUGAAAUUUUUUACAUUUUAUAAUAUAUUAAUUUAUUACAAUUUUUUUUCUUUUAUAAGCACAUGAAUAUGUGUUUGUAAACAUGUACAUCAAUUUUUUAUUUUUUUGCCUUAUUCUAAAAUGGUAAAACAUUGUAUGAUUAUCAUUCAAGCAGUAUGUACCAAAAAUUUUGAAAAGGCACACACAAACAUGUAUAUAUAUUAUGUACGUAUGUAUGUAUGUAUGUAAAUAUAUAUAAGACUAAUAAAGAGUUGUAUGUGUUAUAUCCA